GAGUUUGAUCAUGGCUCAGGAUGAACGCUGGCGGCGUGCCUAAUACAUGCAAGUCGAGCGAGAAUCUGAACGACGGAGACUUCGGUCAAAGGAAUUCAGAGGAAAGCGGCGGACGGGUGAGUAACGCGUGGGCAACCUGCCCCAUACAGAGGGAUAGCAGUUGGAAACGACUAUUAAUACCUCAUACUCCGGUUUUAUCGCAUGAUAGAACCGGGAAAGAUUUAUCGGUAUGGGAUGGGCCCGCGUCUGAUUAGCUAGUUGGUGAGGUAACGGCUCACCAAGGCGACGAUCAGUAGCCAACCUUAGAGGGUGAUUGGCCACACUGGAACUGAGACACGGUCCAGACUCCUACGGGAGGCAGCAGUAGGGAAUAUUGGGCAAUGGGGGCAACCCUGACCCAGCAACGCCGCGUGAACGAUGAAAAUCUUCGGAUUGUAAAGUUCUUUUCUUGAGGAAGAAGAAAGUGACG
rnacentral:rRNA from 1 species